rnacentral:rRNA from 1 species
AGAACGAACGCUGGCGGCAUGCCUAAUACAUGCAAGUCGAACGAACUCUUCGGAGUUAGUGGCGCACGGGUGCGUAACGCGUGGGAAUCUGCCCCUUGGUUCGGAAUAACAGUUGGAAACGACUGCGUAAUACCGGAUGAUGACGAAAGUCCAAAGAUUUAUCGCCAAGGGAUGAGCCCGCGUAGGAUUAGCUAGUUGGUGAGGUAAAGGCUCACCAAGGCAACGAUCCUUAGCUGGUCUGAGAGGAUGAUCAGCCACACUGGGACUGAGACACGGCCCAGACU